AUUGAACGCUGGCGGCAGGCCUAACACAUGCAAGUCGAACGAGUGGCGGACGGGUGAGUAAUGUCUGGGAAACUGCCCGCUGGAGGGGGAUAACUACUGGAAACAGUAGCUAAUACCGCAUACCAUCGGAUGUGCCCAGAUGGGAUAAGCUAGUAGGUGGGGUAACGGCUCACCUAGGCGACGAUCCCUCUCUGGUCUGAGAGGAUGACCAGCCACACUGGAAAGGAGACACGGGCCAGACUCCUACGGGAGGAAGCAGUGGGGAAGAUGGCAGAAUGGGCGAAAGCCUGAUGCAGCCAUGCCGCGUGUAUGAAGAAGGCCUUCGGGUUGUAAAGUACUUUGAGCGAGGAGGCGUUACUCGCAGAAGAAGCACCGGCUAACUCCGUGCCAGCAGCCGCGGUAAUUC
rnacentral:rRNA from 1 species